rnacentral:rRNA from 1 species
AUGGCACCUGCAGGAACUCUCCGCCCUCUUUCCACACAUGGCAUCCUAUUUCUCUUCACCCACCUUCUCAUCUUCAUGUCCUCCAACACCGUCGCAAAAUCCAUCAGCAACGGGUCCGAGGUCGACCGGCAGGCCCUCCUCUCCUUCAAGGAGAGCAUCACCAGUGAUCCGCGCCAGGUCCUGUCGUCUUGGAACCACUCGAUCAGCUUCUGCAGCUGGAGAGGUGUCACCUGCGGUAUUACUCUUCCAACUCGUGUGGUCUCCCUGAACUUAAACUCUGCACAGCUCAGUGGUCAGUUAUCUCCUUGGAUAGCUAACCUUACGUCACUUGAACGGCUAGACCUUUCAGAAAAUCGCUUCUCUGGAAGCAUUCCAGAGGAGUUAGGCACACUUCGACAGCUACAGUUUAUGAUCCUUUCAGUGAACAUCCUUGAAGGUAUCAUUCCUAGAUCCCUAGGCACUAGUAGAUCUCUCAUACAUGUCAAUCUCACAGAAAACCAUCUUGUCGGUACUAUACCAGAUUUCCAUAGGUUGCCAGCCCUCCAAACUUUGAUACUGUCAGAAAACAUGCUUAUAGGUAGCAUUCCUAGAUCUUUAGGCACUAGUAGAUCUCUUAAAAUUGUCGAUCUCUCAUUUAACAUCUUCACUGGCAAUAUUCCAGAUUUCCAUAAGAUGUCAACCCUUGAAUUUCUUGAUCUUUCAAAUAACGACCUUUCUGGAAGCAUACCUUCAUCACUGGGAAAUGUUUCUUCUCUUAGCCAUAUCCAGAACCUUAGUAUGCUGAGUUUAGGUAACAACAACCUGUCGGGGCAUCUUUCGUCCGAACUCUGUAACAUCUCAUCACUCAUUUAUCUUGACUUAGCCCAGAAUGACCUAACUGGACAAGUACCAUCUUUCAUUGGAAACACAUUAACAAACCUUGAAUUGCUUGACAUGUCAGGUAACAAAUUUGAGGGAUUAAUUCCAUCAUCACUAGCAAAUGCAUCGAACCUCCAAGUGAUUGAUCUUGGAUACAACUUACUAAAUGGACGAAUCCCAUCUCUGGGAUCUUUACUUAACUUACAGCUACUAAUUCUUGAAAAUAACUUCCUAGAAGCUGAAGGCUGGGAAUUCCUUGUCUCUCUCGCAAAUUGUUCGCAGCUAGAAAUUUUGGAAAUGAGUGGGAAUGUCCUGAAUGGUAGUCUCCCUAGGUCUGUUGGGAAUCUUUCUAGAAGUUUAGUACGUUUAAACCUUGGAAGGAAUCAAAUCGUAGGCACAAUACCAGUUGAGAUUUUUAACCUUGCAAGUCUCCAAAUGCUUGCUAUGGACAAAAACUUGCUUUCAGGGGUUAUUCCUUCUAUUAUCGGGAACCUAGACCGGCUAGUUGUCCUAGACCUAUCAGGGAACAAAUUUUCUGGUCAGAUCCCAUCUGCAAUAGGUAAUCUUUCCCAGCUGAAUCAGCUUUCUCUAGACAACAACAACUUGAGUGGGAACAUCCCAGCAAGUUUAGGAAAUUGCAAGCAACUGGAUAUGCUAAGCUUAUCUUUUAACAGCCUUGAAGGACCAAUACCAAGUGAACUCACCAAUAGCACUACCCUCCUCAGUUUUGAUUUGUCAAACAACAACCUUACAGGAUCAAUACCACUACAAGUUGGUGCACUGCUUCAACUUGCCCGUCUUGAUAUUUCCGUCAACAAAUUGUCUGGUCAAGUACCAUUAUCACUUGGCCAAUGUGUCCAACUAGUGUCUCUAAGAUUGAGAAGUAACAUGCUUAAUGGAAGCAUACCUCAGUCUUUCAGUGAGCUGAAGUCCAUUGAUCAGAUUGAUCUUUCCCAAAACUACCUUGUUGGACAAAUUCCAGAGUUCUUUGCAAACAUGGUUUAUUUGCACCAACUUGAUCUGUCAGCCAACUACUUUGAAGGGCCAAUUCCAACCGGUGGCAUCUUUCAGAAAUAUAGUGCAGUAAUCUUGGAUGGUAAUGCAGGGCUGUGUGCAAAUGCAACCACCAACUUAUUCGAUUUCCCACUUUGCCCCACAACGUCAGCUGUUGAGAGCAAGCAUGCACUCCUAUUGGUAAAACUAAUUCCCCCAAUUGCUAUUGCCUUGCUCUCCUUCAUAUGCUAUGUGGUCACUGUUCUGAAGAGAAGGCAAGCAGAAACAGCUCCAUGCUACAAGGAGACAAUGAAGAAGAUUUCUUAUGGUGACAUCGUCAAAGCUACCAACUGGCUCUCUCCGGUUAACAAGAUCAGCUCAAGUCGCACCGGCUCGAUCUACAUUGGAAGGUUUGAGUUUGACACGGACUUGGUCGCCAUCAAGUUAUUCCAUCUCGAAGAGAAUGGUGCGCAUGACAGCUUCGCUACCGAGUGCGAGGUGUUGCGAAACACCCGCCAUCGCAAUCUUGUCAAAGCUGUCACCGUAUGCUCGACAGUGGACCUAGAGAACAAUGAAUUCAAGGCUAUAGUUUUCGACUUCAUGGCCAACGGAAGCUUGGACAUGUGGGUGCACCCGAAGCUACACAACAAUAGCCCCAAGAGAGUACUGAGCUUGGGUCAGAGGUUAAGAAUAGCGAUGGACGUCGCGUUGGCUCUGGAUUAUAUGCACAACCAGUUAACGCCUCCUCUAAUCCACUGUGAUUUGAAGCCCGGAAAUGUUCUUUUGGACUAUGAUAUGACCGCAAGGGUUGGUGAUUUUGGGUCAGCGAGGUUUCUCUCUUCUACCCCUGGUAGUCCAGAAGACUUGGUUGGUGUGGAAGGAACAAUUGGAUAUAUCGCACCCGAGUACUGUAUGGGAUACAAAGUUUCACCAGGAUGUGAUGUUUAUGGUUUUGGAAUCCUCCUUCUAGAAAUGCUUACCGGAAGGCGACCAACGGAUGCAAUGUUCACCGGUGGCCUGAGCCUGCACAAGCUUGUGAGCUCAGCAUUUCCAGGCAGACUCAGAGAGGUUUUAGAUCCCCAUUUGUCCCACGAGCAGCAGCGUGCGUGUGAUAGAGUGCUUAUGCGGAGAUAUAUGGUACCUCUGGUUGAAGUUGGCCUCCUGUGUUCCAUGGAAUCGCCUAAAGAUCGACCGGGAAUGGGAGAAGUUUGUGCCAGAAUUUUGUCUCUCAAAGAGGCAUUCUUUGAGUUCUGCUGA